rnacentral:rRNA from 1 species
UACGGAGGGUGCAAGCGUUAUCCGGAUUCACUGGGUUUAAAGGGUGCGUAGGUGGGUUGGUAAGUCAGUGGUGAAAUCUCCAGGCUUAACUUGGAAACUGCCAUUGAUACUAUCAAUCUUGAAUACCGUGGAGAUGAGCGGAAUAUGUCAUGUAGCGGUGAAAUGCUUAGAUAUGACAUAGAACACCAAUUGCGAAGGCAGCUCGUUACACGAAUAUUGACACUGAUGCACGAAAGCGUGGGGAGCGAACAGG